ensembl:lncRNA
GCAGCUCAGAGCUCGCUCUGUCCCCUCCACCAGUCCCUGUGGGGCAACCCUGGGUUGUGACAUCUCUGAAAACAUGUUUUGGACUAACUGACAGGCCAGAGGAAGGCAGCGUGCCGGUGUCUCAAUCCUUCCACGAACUGCUUUUGAAGACGGAAGACGGCAGAGAGAGGGUGCGUAUCACCGUGGCUGUGGCUGGCGGUUGUCCCCCUCUGCCCCUCUUCCCCCUGCCCGCCGCCCUCUCGGCUUGUCUUUCCACCCUGUCCCCAUUCUUCAUUCCACCCCCUGGGGCUGGCCGGCCCCCUGCCCUCCUGUCUCCUCUGUACAACCAGCCCUCUAGGUCCCCCUGCUUACCAAACUCUCCUCCAAGAGGCCUCAACCAUGAGCAACUGCUCCCUCUUCGAAACUCUUAACGCCUCGCCAUCCUCCGAGCCCUGAUUCUCAGACCAGCAGAAUCGGUACCACCUGUGCACUGACUGCGCUAAAGCAUCUCAGCAUCUCGGGCUCCACUGGCUCCCUGCUCCAGGCUCUGAAGAUCCCACUUGCCGAAGGUCAACCAAGCCUGCAAGGUGCAGCUACUGAGUCCGUGUGCCCAGAGCCCAUGCUCUGCAACAAGAGAAGCCACCGCAAUGAGAAGCCCUUGCAUUGCAACUUGAGAGGAGCCCCUGCUUGCCACAACUAGAGAAAGCUCAUGUGCGGCAGUGAAGACCCAGAGCAACCAGAAAUAAAUGAAUAAAAACUCCAUAUCCGUGGUCCAGAGAAAGCACUCGCCUAAAGCAAACACGUCUGGAACACCACCGCAGUCUGAUCUGGAACACCAUCGCAGUCUGAAUGAAAGCCGUAAAGUCAGAGCGCCUUCGGGAGAGGAAGGAGGUGGCCCCCCAGCUCCAGUCUCCUUAACUGCACCCUGGGAAGUCUGCACACUGCCUUUCUUUCUCCCCUCCUGGUGGUCUAAUCUGGAGUCAGAUCCAGCCGCUGGCUCUCGCAGAUGGGGAAGGACUGCCAGCCAACAGGAAAACAACAGGUUUCUAUAAUUCAUCAUUCAGUCCCUUCUGAAAACCUAGAAUGAGAGUUUAGCAGCUCAGAGCCCCGGCCUCUCUCCAUUCUCUCCCCAAACACAUCAGCUUGUUUGUUCCCUUUCAUCCGGGCUCUUCCUGUCGCAUUCUGCCUGUUCAAUGGGGAAAGAGUGAAACCGGAUGGCUGGACCCAGUGCGGGGAAAUGACUUCAGAGCCACCUUUGUUUCCCUCAUUCCUUUGAGCACACUUGGCCCCCGCGUCUCUAUGAAAGGGCUUGUUUGAACCAUUUGGAACAUCUCGCGAGUGGGAGAUGCUAUGGCCAGAAUCGCUCACAUCUUUUCAGGCUGCCUGAGACUGGGUGAAACUGCCAAAUUUUUGCAACAAAACUAACCAUGACAUUGGACAUUGUGUUAUAAAUUAGCCACAGCCUUCCAAGCAAAUUGUCUCUUUUCAUUGUGUCAGUGUAAGCCUUUGAAACGUUUGGCUCCAGCUACUGACUUUGGAGAGACUCAGAGAAUAUUUUUGUUCGGCCCCAAACCAGCCCUUCAGACACUAAGCUGCAUGGGCUAAUAUAUGUAUCUUAGUUGACAGCUCUUCUUACCACACUUACUCAGAAGAUUCCUGUUGGUUAUAUUUCAUUUCUCUGCCUAAAAUUCGGUUAAUGGGCUUCUCAGUUUUGAUGUAGCAGGAACCAUCUCCAUUUGUCUUUGAAACAAAAAGAUGUACUUCUCUUUUCUUAGGCUUUUCACAAUGAUUAUUGGAAGUUUCUUUGAAGGAGGAGUUCUUUUCAGAACUCCAGUGAGAGUUAUUAAAAUGUGUUACUAUGUUGCUCUAGGUGACAUAUAGAAUUUCAGCAUUCAGUACUCACAGAAGCAAUGAAAAUGUCUAUUUCUGUUAAAUCACUCUGUGUUUUUUUUAAAAAAGAAAACAUCUAUGCAUCCACUUGAGCUCUGUCACCAACAGCCAGAUCAAGUGUUUGUUAUUAAAAGGAAA